UAGCGGUGAAAUGCUUAGAUAUCACGAAGAACUCCGAUUGCGAAGGCAGCCUGCUAAGCUGCAACUGACAUUGAGGCUCGAAAGUGUGGGUAUCAAACAGGAUUAGAUACCCUGGUAGUCCACACGGUAAACGAUGAAUACUCGCUGUUUGCGAUAUACGGCAAGCGGCCAAGCGAAAGCGUUAAGUAUUCCACCUGGGGAGUACGCCGGCAACGGUGAAACUCAAAGGAAUUGACGGGGGCCCGCACAAGCGGAGGAACAUGUGGCUUAAUUCGAUGAUACGCGAGGAACCUUACCCGGGCUUAAAUUGCACUCGAAUGAUCCGGAAACGGUUCAGCUAGCAAUAGCGAGUGUGAAGGUGCUGCAUGGUUGUCGUCAGCUCGUGCCGUGAGGUGUCGGCUUAAGUGCCAUAACGAGCGCAACCCUUGUUGUCAGUUACUAGCAGGUGAUGCUGAGGACUCUGACAAGACUGCCAUCGUAAGAUGUGAGGAAGGUGGGGAUGACGUCAAAUCAGCACGGCCCUUACGUCUGGGGCUACACACGUGUUACAAUGGGGGGUACAGAGGGCCGCUACCACGCGAGUGGAUGCCAAUCCCUAAAACCCCUCUCAGUUCGGACUGGAGUCUGCAACCCGACUCCACGAAGCUGGAUUCGCUAGUAAUCGCGCAUCAGCCACGGCGCGGUGAAUACGUUCCCGGGCCUUGUACACACCGCCCGUCAAGCCAUGGGAGCCGGGGGUACCUGAAGUGCGUAACCGCGAGGAUCGCCCUAGGGUAAAACUGGUGACUG
rnacentral:rRNA from 1 species